rnacentral:misc_RNA from 1 species
UCCCUUCUCUCCUUCCUUUUCCUUUUCUCCUUCCUUUCCUCCUCUCCUCUUUUCCCUCACAUUGCGCCCUCUGGUAUUCCGGGGGGCAUGCCUGUCCGAGCGUCAUUGCGAACCCCUCAAGCCCGGCUUGUGUGAUGGGCCCUCCCGCGUCUUGGUCGUCAAGACGGGCCCGAAAAGCAGUGGCGGCUUCGCGGUUAUCCGAUCAGCCAGAGCGUAUGGGGACUUUCUCUCUGUCACACGCCCGCGGCGCGGACCGACGCCUGUCGACCUUUAUUCAUCUUUUUCUCGGUUGACCUCGGAUCAGGUAGGGAUACCCGCUGAACUUAAGC